rnacentral:lncRNA from 1 species
AAGAAGAAGCCGCUGUCUCACGCCAUCCCUAUCUAUAUUAAGCCGACACUAACGUUAGUCCACCCCACCACUUCGUGUAUUUCAUUGAAAAGAAUUUCUGCAGCAAAAGUUCUUCUGGGCUCACCAAAAAUGACUCAAAUCAUGAAAUGCCUUGCAUCUUUUUCACUCUUCCUAUCAGCACUCAUAUUAUCCCUUUGCUCUCCAAUCUCAUCAGUUAGCCUUGAUGGAGCUGUGUCAAGUACAUCUUCUCUGGAAGUCCAACAAGGGAAUCAUCUUGCAGCAUAUGAAACUAGCAAAGUCUCAUUCUUUGCAAACCGGAAGUUAAUACAAGUUCAAAGCAAAAGAAGAGGGCGUUCUGUAAGACCACCGGUCGGUGCUGGUUCCAGAACAAGAUCAUCAUCUGCGAAUAGGAAGCAAGCAUCUUCGUCCCAGUUGAAUGCUCUGCCGGUUUUCUCCAUUUCAUGCAUCUUCUUCUUCUUGGUUUAGUUAGUACUAGCUACUACCAUUGCAAAUGUUAUUUAUAGAACUAAGGAUAUUCGUGCAGCUAUUCUUAAAAGGUGAAACGUCUCCUCUUUACAAUCCAUGGAAGCUUCAUCAUCCUAGAAAACUCUCUGCCUGUGUGCUCGUUGGAACUUGUUUGUAAAUUGCGGAAUUCCUUUGCACAUAUCAUUUCAGUGGAUUGAAUUGCUAGUGAGUGAUUUGUGCUUUAUUUGCCAUUUCCAUAUAUGUCAAUUAAUUCAUUGAAGUGGAAUUGUUGCACAAGUUUUUUUUCCCUUUUUUUUUAAUUAAAGAAAAUGACAUACUGAGCUGUUUUUUAGAAGGUAUAUAGCUUAGAUAGGGGGGCAAAAAAAAAAAAAAAGAAAAGGUCUUUGCUGAGACCAUAUUAAAUUUUUGUGGAAUCUUACUGAAAACAUUAAUUUAUUUCAGGCAGAAGCAGAUCAUGCCUAAUCUAAAAGUAUUGCAAGGAUUUUUUUUUUUUUUUUUUUUUGGCGCAAAUGACUUCAUACUUGCGGUAUAAUCAUCAGUCAAGGAAGCUGAGAAAGGCAUUAAAUAUAUCUAAAGGCUAUAUGAUUAUAUCCCAGACAAUG